rnacentral:rRNA from 1 species
CAUCUAAGCACGAAACUUGCCCCGAGAUGAGUUCUCCCUGAGACUAUAAGUCUCCUGAAGGAACGUUGAAGACGACGACGUUGAUAGGCCGGGUGUGUAAGCGCAGCGAUGCGUUGAGCUAACCGGUACUAAUGAACCGUGAGGCUUAACCUUACAACGCCGAAG